AUCUGGCUGGCUCAGUCAGUAGAGCAUGCAACUCUUGAUCUCUGGGUCAUGAGUUUGAACCCCAUGUUGGAUA
rnacentral:tRNA from 1 species